rnacentral:SRP_RNA from 2 species
GCUGGGCGUGGUGGCGGGCGCCUGUAAUCCCAGCUACUCAGGAAGCUGAGGCAGGAGAAUUGCUUGAACUCGGGAGUUGGAGGUUGCAGUGAGCUGAGAUCACGCCACUGCACUCCAGCCUGGGCGACAGAGCAAGACUCCGUCUCAA